UCCCUGGUAGUAUAUCGGUUAGUACACGCGCCUGUCAUUAACCGGACCGCGCGAAAGCGGGGUUCGACUCCCCGCCAGGGAG
rnacentral:tRNA from 1 species